rnacentral:rRNA from 1 species
CCAGAGAACUUAGCAGAGAUGCUUGGUGCCUUCGGGAACUCUGAGACAGGUGCUGCAUGGCUGUCGUCAGCUCGUGUUGUGAAAUGUUGGGUUAAGUCCCGCAACGAGCGCAACCCUUAUCCUUUGUUGCCAGCGGUCCGGCCGGGAACUCAAAGGAGACUGCCAGUGAUAAACUGGAGGAAGGUGGGGAUGACGUCAAGUCAUCAUGGCCCUUACGAGUAGGGCUACACACGUGCUACAAUGGCGCAUACAAAGAGAAGCGACCUCGCGAGAGCAAGCGGACCUCAUAAAGUGCGUCGUAGUCCGGAUUGGAGUCUGCAACUCGACUCCAUGAAGUCGGAAUCGCUAGUAAUCGUAGAUCAGAAUGCUACGGUGAAUACGUUCCCGGGCCUUGUACACACCGCCCGUCACACCAUGGGAGUGGGUUGCGAAAGAAGUAGGUAGCUUAACCUUCGGGAGGGCGCUUACCACUUUGUGAUUCAUGACUGGGGUAAAGUCGUAACAAGGUAAGCGUAGCGAG